GUUUAGAUGGCAGAGCCCGGAUAAUGCAAAAGACCUAAGCCCUUUUUACAGGGGUUCAAAUCCCCUUCUAAACU
rnacentral:tRNA from 2 species